rnacentral:rRNA from 1 species
AACGGCAGCACGGACUUCGGUCUGGUGGCGAGUGGCGAACGGGUGAGUAACAUAUCGGAACGUAUCCAAUAAUGGGGGAUAACUAAUCGAAAGGUUGGCUAAUACCGCAUACGCCCUACGGGGGAAAGCUAGGGACCUUCGGGCCUGGCGUUAAUGGAGCGGCCGAUAUCUGAUUAGCUAGUUGGUGGGGUAAAGGCCCACCAAGGCGACGAUCAGUAGCUGGUCUGAGAGGACGACCAGCCACACUGGAACUGAGACACGGUCCAGACUCCUACGGGAGGCAGCAGUGGGGAAUUUUGGACAAUGGGCGCAAGCCUGAUCCAGCCAUUCCGCGUGAGUGAAGAAGGCCUUCGGGUUGUAAAGCUCUUUCGCAAGGGAAGAAAACUUAGCCACUAACAUUGGCUGAGGUUGACGGUACCUUGAUAAGAAGCACCGGCUAACUACGUGCCAGCAGCCGCGGUAAUACGUAGGGUGCGAGCGUUAAUCGGAAUUACUGGGCGUAAAGCGUGCGCAGGCGGUUUUGUAAGUCAGAUGUGAAAUCCCUCGGCUUAACUGAGGAACUGCAUCUGAUACUGGAAGGCUUGAGUGCAGGAGAGGAACGCGGAAUUCCAGGUGUAGCGGUGAAAUGCGUAGAUAUCUGGAGGAACACCGGUGGCGAAGGCGGCGUUCUGGACUGCAACUGACACUGAUGAACGAAAGCCAGGGGAGCAAACGGGAUUAGAUACCCCGGUAGUCCUGGCCCUAAACGAUGUCAACUAGCCGUUGGGUUCAUUAAAGGACUUAGUGGCGCAGCUAACGCGA